rnacentral:rRNA from 1 species
AUGUAUAGCGAAAGCUAGUUGUGCUUGAUUUAGUGUAAGCUAAAUUGGUAUAAUAUUGACUAUGUCGAAUAAAGUUCUAGAUAGAAUUAUGAUGAUGACAUUGUCUAUCUAUGUGUCUUGACCAAAUUACGUGCCAGCAGUCGCGGUAAUACGUAAAAGACUAGUGUUACUCAUCUUGAAUAGGUUUAAAGGGUACCUAGACGGCCAAUCAAGCCCCUAAAAGGGUACUAAUGGGCUAGAGUUUAAUAUAAGUAGGCUUUAAAGUACUGAGAAUGUUGAGAGAUGAAAUUCUGUGAUACUAUAUACGGCACUGGUAAAGGCGAAAGCAUCUUAUUAUGUAAAAACUGACGUUGAGGGACGAAGGCUGUGUGUAGCAAAAAGGAUUAGAUACCCAAGUAGUCUCAGCAGAAAAUGAUGAAUGUCAUGGUGUAGAGUAAUUUUGCACUAUAAAUGAAAGUGUAAGCAUUCCACCUUAAGAGUAAUUUGGCAACAUUGGAACUGAAAUCAUUAGACCGUUUCUGAAACAAGUAGUGAAGUAUGUUGUUUAAUUUGAUGGUCCGCAAAAAACCUUACCACAAUUUGAAUAUAAAAAUAUUUAUACAAGCGCUGCACGGUUGUCUUCAGUUAAUGUCGUGAGAUUCUGGUUAGUUCCAUUAAAUUAACGUAAACCCAUACUUUAUUUUAUUAUAGAGUAGUUCACCGCUAGAUUGGAUGUGAUAAGAGGGACUAAGACAA